rnacentral:rRNA from 1 species
AUGGCGGCCGCGGCGGCCAUUUCUCCCCUCCCUUCUCCUUCCUCCUCGUCGCAGCCCCUCUUCCUCUUCCUCCUCUCCAGGCCGCGGACACCAUCCCGCCUCCGCCACCCGCACCUCAUCCUCCCCGCUCGAUCCCGCCCGCAUCGACCCUCCACCCCCACAUCCACAUCCACCCGCUGCCGCUGCUCCUCCUCCUCCUCCGCCGCCGCCGCGUCCUUCAACGGCUGGGCCGACCUCCCCGCCGACACGGACCUCCCCUUCAGCCUCCCGCAGCAGUCCCUCGCCGCCGCCCCGCUCCUCCUUCUCCUCCCCGUCGCCGCGCUCUCCCUCUCCCGCCUCCCGCCCGUCCCGCUCCUCGCCGCCGUCUUCGCCGCCGGAUUCGCCACCGCCAGGCACCUCGCCCCCGCCCCCGCCCCCUCCUCCAUCCCGCGCCUCGCCGCGCUCCUCGCGGAUCUCGAUGCCCGCCUCCUCUCCCUCAGGGACCACCUCCUGGCCUCGUCCCCCGCCGACGGUGACAACGGCGACAUCGAGGCCGUGGACCGGGCGCACGAUGCGGUCCUGGAGUGCGCGGCAGCCGUGGCCGGCGGCCAGGGCCAGGGCAGCAGCAGCAACGCCGGCGGCGGCGCUCCGGACGACGGGGCGCUGCAGGACGUGGCCAGGGAGGUCGCCGGCUACAUCGGCGGCUGGGCUCGGGUAGCCCUGCGGGAGCUCAGCUUCGCCUCGCCGCGGAAGAAGCCCGCCAAGGCCGUCGCCCCUGAUGCUUCUACGGCCGAUGCCAAGAGUAAUUCAGGCUCUGCUGUAGCCCAGCAAGGGGAUGGGGAAAAGAAGACAGUUGAUUCAGCGGCUGUCGGACGCGCCCGGCCGCUCGACAUGCUACCGUUCGAUGGCAAGGAUGCUGAUGCCAAUGGGUUUGAGGAUGCCGGGUUCAGUUCUGAGAGCAGGCAGGAAGACGACGGCCGGCUGGAGAGGCUGGUGUCCAAGCACAGGUAUGGCCGCGGCAGCAGGGUGCGAAAUGAUGGUCCCUUUCAAGAAGGCGAUAGGGUGAGGAGCGACGGUCGCUUUGAAGAAGGCGGCAGGUUCGCCGCCGCUGAAUCCGCCGAGUCCUCUUUGCUGGAGAGGACGCUCGAGAUCCGGGACAGGUCGUACAGGCUGAAGAUCGAGCGCCGCGACGGCGGUGAGAGCCGAGCGAGUGGAGCACGGGGGACGCCGGCUGAUGAAUUCGUGGGCAGCGCUGCCGCCAGUGUCGAGGAACCACCACUUGCAGAUGAUAAUGAGGGUGGUGGUGCUGCUGGGGGUUCAGAUGGUGAAGAGUUCAGCCGCAACAUCAAUGAGGCUGCCGAGAUCUUGAGGAAGGCGAGGGAGUGCAUGAUGGCCAGGGACGACGAAGAGGCCGCGGACGCGUUGCUGUAUAGGUCAGCAAGGCUUCUGUCCACCGCCGUGGCUUUGAGGCCGGUAAGCCUGGUAGCGGUCGGUCAGCUAGGGAACACCUACCUCCUCCAUGGGGAGCUCAAGCUCAAGAUUAGCCGCGAGCUGAGGACGCUGCUGGCCAACAGCGGGGCUUAUCUGAAUGGAGGAGAGCGUGUCUCACGGUCCAGGAAGCUGGACAGAAGAAUCCUUAACAGAGAGAACAUUUCGUCCGCGCUAGUGGGCGUUUGUGAGGAGUGUGAGAGCCUCCUUGUUGAGGCAGGCAGAAGCUAUAGGACGGCUGUGUCAAUUGAUUCGGGCGACGUCAAGGCGCUGUACAAUUGGGGACUGGCGCUUAUCUUUCGUGGACAACUGCUUGCCGACAUCGGACCGGAAGCAGCAGUUGAUGCUGAUCGGGUGUAUUUGGCUGCGAUCGAUAAGUUUGAUGCCAUGUUAUCCAAAAGCAACACUUAUGCUCCAGAAGCUCUCUACAGAUGGGGCAGCGCGCUGCAGCAACGGUCCCAGUUGCGGUCUCGGAACAACAAGGAGAAGAUAAGGCUGCUGGAGCAGGCAAAGAGUCUGUUUGAAGACGUUCUGUACGUUGAGGGUAACAACAAGAUGGUACGGGAAGCGCUGUCGUCGUGCAUAUCAGAGCUUAACUACCAUGGACGAUGGCUACAGUGA